UACGGGGGGGGCAAGCGUUGUUCGGAAUUACUGGGCGUAAAGGGCGCGUAGGCGGUCUACUAAGUUGGAUGUGAAAACUCUGGGCUUAACCCAGAGCCUGCAUUCAAAACUGAUAGGCUGGAGUUCUGGAGGGGAUAGCGGAAUUCCUGGUGUAGCGGUGAAAUGCGCAGAUAUCAGGAGGAACACCGGUGGCGAAGGCGGGAUCCUGGGCCAGUACUGACGCUGAGGCGCGAAAGCUGGGGGAGCAAACGGG
rnacentral:rRNA from 1 species